CCUACGGGUGGCUGCAGUGGGGAACAUUGGGCAAUGGGCGCAACCCUGACCCAGCAAUGCCGCGUGAGGGAAGAAGUCUUUCGGGUUGUAAACUUCUUUGACAGGGGAAGAGCGGAAGACGGGACCCUGACAACAAACCACGGCUAACUACGUUCCAGCAGCCGCGGUAAUACGUAGGUGGCAAGCGUUGUCCGGAUUUACUGGGGGUAAAGGGCGUGUAGCCGGGAACGCAAGUCAGGUGUGAAAACGGGAGGCCCAACCCCCAGAUUGCAUUUGAAACUGUUUUACUUGAGUACUGGAGAGGCAGACGGAAUUCCUUGUGUAGCGGUGAAAUGCGUAGAUAUAAGGAGGAACACCAGUGGCGAAGGCGGUCUGCUGGACUGUAACUGACGGUGAGGCGCGAAAGCGUGGGGAGCAAACAGGAUUAGAUACCCGAGUAGUC
rnacentral:rRNA from 1 species